AGUGAACGCUGGCGGUAGGCCUAGCACAUGCAAGUCGAACGGCAGCACAGUAAGAGCUUGCUCUUACGGGUGGCGAGUGGCGGACGGGUGAGGAAUACAUCGGAAUCUACUUUUUCGUGGGGGAUAACGUAGGGAAACUUACGCUAAUACCGCAUACGACCUACGGGUGAAAGCAGGGGAUCUUCGGACCUUGCGCGAUUGAAUGAGCCGAUGUCGGAUUAGCUAGUUGGCGGGGUAAAGGCCCACCAAGGCGACGAUCCGUAGCUGGUCUGAGAGGAUGAUCAGCCCCACUUGAACUGAGGCCCGGUCCCGACUCCUACGGGAGGCCGCAGGUGGGAAUAUUGGACAAUGGGCGCAAGCCUGAUCCAGCCAUACCGCGUGGGUGAAGAAGGCCUUCGGGUUGUAAAGCCCUUUUGUUGGGAAAGAAAAGCAGCAGGUUAAUACCCCGCUGUUCUGACGGUACCCAAAGAAUAAGCACCGGCUAACUUCGUG
rnacentral:rRNA from 1 species